AUGCCAAAGCCAGGAUUUGUGCUGGGUUUCCUUGUGCGAUCUGUUUGAACCAAGUUUUCUUUCCUUCUCCCGCUUUCUCGGCAGCUUGAAUUUCCACUCUAGUUCUUUUACCCAGAUUGGUUGACGGAUGUGACACUUCAAAAAGUGAGCUUUGAACUGAAGAUAACUCUUAAAGAAAAUAUCAUUUUAGACAAUUAAAAUAUUUAUGCUCCAAAAAGAUAUAAUUUA
rnacentral:lncRNA from 1 species